GAUGAACGCUGGCGGCGUGCCUAAUACAUGCAAGUCGAGCGAACGGACGAGAAGCUUGCUUCUCUGAUGUUAGCGGCGGACGGGUGAGUAACACGUGGAUAACCUACCUAUAAGACUGGGAUAACUUCGGGAAACCGGAGCUAAUACCGGAUAAUAUUUUGAACCGCAUGGUUCAAAAGUGAAAGACGGUCUUGCUGUCACUUAUAGAUGGAUCCGCGCUGCAUUAGCUAGUUGGUAAGGUAACGGCUUACCAAGGCAACGAUGCAUAGCCGACCUGAGAGGGUGAUCGGCCACACUGGAACUGAGACACGGUCCAGACUCCUACGGGAGGCAGCAGUAGGGAAUCUUCCGCAAUGGGCGAAAGCCUGACGGAGCAACGCCGCGUGAGUGAUGAAGGUCUUCGGAUUGUAAAACUCUGUUAUUAGGGAAGAACAUAUGUGUAAGUAACUGUGCACAUCUUGACGGUACCUAAUCAGAAAGCCACGGCUAACUACGUGCCAGCAGCCGCGGUAAUACGUAGGUGGCAAGCGUUAUCCGGAAUUAUUGGGCGUAAAGCGCGCGUAGGCGGUUUUUUAAGUCUGAUGUGGAAGCCCACGGCUCAACCGUGGAGGGUCAUUGGAAACUGGAAAACUUGAGUGCAGAAGAGGAAAGUGGAAUUCCAUGUGUAGCGGUGAAAUGCGCAGAGAUAUGGAGGAACACCAGUGGCGAAGGCGACUUUCUGGUCUGUAACUGACGCUGAUGUGCGAAAGCGUGGGGAUCAAACAGGAUUAGAUACCCUGGUAGUCCACGCCGUAAACGAUGAGUGCUAAGUGUUAGGGGGUUUCCGCCCCUUAGUGCUGCAGCUAACGCAUUAAGCACUCCGCCUGGGGAGUACGACCGCAAGGUUGAAACUCAAAGGAAUUGACGGGGACCCGCACAAGCGGUGGAGCAUGUGGUUUAAUUCGAAGCAACGCGAAGAACCUUACCAAAUCUUGACAUCCUUUGACAACUCUAGAGAUAGAGCUUUCCCCUUCGGGGGACAAAGUGACAGGUGGUGCAUGGUUGUCGUCAGCUCGUGUCGUGAGAUGUUGGGUUAAGUCCCGCAACGAGCGCAACCCUUAAGCUUAGUCGCCAUCAUUAAGUUGGGCACUCUAAGUUGACUGCCGGUGACAAACCGGAGGAAGGUGGGGAUGACGUCAAAUCAUCAUGCCCCUUAUGAUUUGGGCUACACACGUGCUACAAUGGACAAUACAAAGGGCAGCAAAACCGUGAGGUCAAGCAAAUCCCAUAAAGUUGUUCUCAGUUCGGAUUGUAGUCUGCAACUCGACUACAUGAAGCUGGAAUCGCUAGUAAUCGUAGAUCAGCAUGCUACGGUGAAUACGUUCCCGGGUCU
rnacentral:rRNA from 1 species